ACCUUUACUAUAGCUUGACACUGAACAUUGAGCCUUGAUGUGUAGGAUAGGUGGGAGGCUUUGAAGUGUGGACGCCAGUCUGCAUGGAGCCGGCCUUGAAAUACCACCCUUUAAUGUUUGAUGUUCUAACGUGGACCCGUGAUCCGGGUUGCGGACAGUGUCUGGUGGGUAGUUUGACUGGGGCGGUCUCCUCCUAAAGAGUAACGGAGGAGCACGAAGGUUGGCUAAUCCUGGUCGGACAUCAGGAGGUUAGUGCAAUGGCAUAAGCCAGCUUGACUGCGAGCGUGACGGCGCGAGCAGGUGCGAAAGCAGGUCAUAGUGAUCCGGUGGUUCUGAAUGGAAGGGCCAUCGCUCAACGGAUAAAAGGUACUCCGGGGAUAACAGGCUGAUACCGCCCAAGAGUUCAUAUCGACGGCGGUGUUUGGCACCUCGAUGUCGGCUCAUCACAUCCUGGGGCUGAAGUAGGUCCCAAGGGUAUGGCUGUUCGCCAUUUAAAGUGGUACGCGAGCUGGGUUUAGAACGUCGUGAGACAGUUCGGUCCCUAUCUGCCGUGGGCGCUGGAGAACUGAGGGGGGCUGCUCCUAGUACGAGAGGACCGGAGUGGACGCAUCACUGGUGUUCGGGUUGUCAUGCCAAUGGCACUGCCCGGUAGCUAAAUGCGGAAGAGAUAAGUGCUGAAAGCAUCUAAGCACGAAACUUGCCCCGAGAUGAGUUCUCCCUGAGACUUAGAGUCUCCUGAAGGAACGUUGAAGACGACGACGUUGAUAGGCCGGGUGUGUAAGCGCAGCGAUGCGUUGAGCUAACCGGUACUAAUGAACCGUGAGGCUUAACCUUACAACGCCGAAG
rnacentral:rRNA from 1 species